AACAGUUGCGAUCUCGCAGGGGGAGCUAAUCUGAAAAAACCGGUCUCAGUUCGGAUUGAGGGCUGCAACUCGCCCUCAUGAAGUUGGAAUCGCUAGUAAUCGCGAAUCAGCAAUGUCGCGGUGAAUACGUUCUCGGGUCUUGUACACACCGCCCGUCACACCAUGAGAGUUGAUAAUACCAGAAGUCGGUAUCCUAACCGUAAGGAGGGAGCCGCCCAAGGUAGGAUUGAUGAUUAGGGUGAAGUCGUAACAAGGUAUCCGUACCGGAAGGUGCGGAUGGAUCACCUCCUUUCUAUGGAGUUAUACUUUAUAGUAAAUACGGCUAUAAUGAAGUUAUGUUUAGUUUUCAGAGAUUAGUUUCUCUGAAUUAAUCGAAAUUGAACAAGUAGUUAAAUUUUGAUUAAAAAUUGUUCUUUGAAAACUGGAUAAUAGACAUCUAGUUAUUUCAUUUUUAAUGAAAUAACAAAAUAAUUCAAAUUUUCUGUUAUUAAAGUAAUUUUUAAAUUAAUAACUAAAAUUUCACAGUUAUAUUUUGUAAAUGAUUCUCAAAAAAAUUAUAAAAACCUUGAUUAAUUUAAUUAAUUAAGCAAUGAUCAAACUUUGAAGUUACAAAGGGCGUAUGGUGAAUGCCUUGGGAAUAGGAGACGAUGAAGGACGUGACUACCUGCGAUAAGGUUCGGGGAGCUGGAAGUAAGCUUUGAUCCGGACAUGUCCGAAUGGGGAAACCCGGUGAGAUUAAUCUCUCAUCAUCCUAUAAUGAAUAAAUAGUUAUAGAGAAGGUAUACCUAGGGAAUUGAAACAUCUUAGUACCUAGAGGAAAAGAAAGCGAAAGCGAUUCUCUGAGUAGCGGCGAGCGAAAGGGGAACAGCCCAAACCAACUUAUGUUGGGGUUGUAGGACCACAUUAGUAGAGUUACAAAACUUGUUUAUAGUAGAAAUGGUUGGGAAACCAUGCCACAGAGGGUGAUAGCCCCGUAUACGAAAUGAACAGGACUCGAAGUGGAAUCCUGAGUACGGCGAGACACGUGAAAUCUUGUCGGAAUCAACGCGGACCACCGCGUAAGGCUAAAUACUACCUAUUCACCGAUAGUGAACCAGUACCGUGAGGGAAAGGUGAAAAGCACCCCGGGAGGGGAGUGAAAAAGUACCUGAAACCAUAUGCCUACAAGAAGUCGGAGCCCGUUAAUGGGUGACGGCGUGCCUUUUGUAGAAUGAGCCGGCGAGUUAUGAUAGCAUGCAAGGUUAAGUGGAAGACACGGAGCCGUAGUGAAAGCGAGCCUUAAUAGGGCGUUUAGUAUGUUGUCAUAGACCCGAAACCAGGUGAUCUAGCCAUGAGCAGGUUGAAGUUGAGGUAAAACUUAAUGGAGGACCGAACCGACGUUCGUGAAAAGACCGCGGAUGA
rnacentral:sRNA from 1 species